GGGCCCGUAGCUUAGCAUGGUAGAGCGCCCGGCUGAUAACCGGGAGGCCGUGGGUUCAAGUCCCACCGGGCCCA
rnacentral:tRNA from 3 species